GGAAUAUUGGUCAAUGGAUGCAAGUCUGAACCAGCCAUGCCGCGUGCAGGAAGACGGCCCUAUGGGUUGUAAACUGCUUUUGUCAGGGGAUAAAACAGCUCCGCGGAGCAAAUUGAAGGUACAUGGAGAAUAAGCCACGGAUAACUACGUGCCAGCAGCCGCGGUAAUACGUAGGUGGCAAGCGUUGUCCGGAUUUAUUGGGUUUAAAGGGUGCGUAGGCGGCCUUAUAAGUCAGUGCUGAAAUAUCCCGGCUUAACCGGGAGGGUGUCAUUGAUACUGUAGGGCUUGAGUAAAGUUGAGGUAGGCGGAAUUGACGGUGUAGCGGUGAAAUGCUUAGAUAUCGUCAAGAACACCGAUAGUGAAGACAGCUUACUAAACUUUAACUGACGCUGAGGCACGAAAGUGUGGGGAUCAAAC
rnacentral:rRNA from 1 species